GCCCUGGCUCAGCAGAGGAGGACAGAGCCAGUCACAAGUGGGGUUUCAGGAAGAGGAACUUGCUUGCAGGAGUCCCCCAUCCCUGAUAGGCCUAGAAGAGAGGAGAGAUUUGUUCAGACAGCAGCUCCCACAGUGGUCACAGCCAGCAAGAAAACCAGUCCUGGGAAACAACUCUUUGUCAUUUAAGCAUCCUCAAGCCUCCCAGAUGCAGCUCUCCCAAAACACCUGCUCUUAUUUGAGCAGUGCCCACAGUCAGCA